AACGAACGCUGGCGGCAGGCCUAACACAUGCAAGUCGAGCGAGACCUUCGGGUCUAGCGGCGGACGGGUUAGUAACGCGUGGGAAUGUACCCUUCACUGCGGAAUAGCCACUGGAAACGGUGAGUAAUACCGCAUACGCCCUUCGGGGGAAAGAUUUAUCGGUGAAGGAUCAGCCCGCGUCUGAUUAGAUAGUUGGUGGGGUAACGGCCUACCAAGUCGACGAUCAGUAGCUGGUUUUAGAGGAUGAUCAGCAACACUGGGACUGAGACACGGCCCAGACUCCUACGGGAGGCAGCAGUGGGGAAUCUUAGACAAUGGGCGCAAGCCUGAUCUAGCCAUGCCGCGUGUGUGAUGAAGGCCCUAGGGUCGUAAAGCACUUUCGCCAGGGAUGAUAAUGACAGUACCUGGUAAAGAAACCCCGGCUAACUCCGUGCCAGCAGCCGCGGUAAUACGGAGGGGGUUAGCGUUGUUCGGAAUUACUGGGCGUAAAGCGCACGUAGGCGGACUAUUAAGUCAGGGGUGAAAUCCCGGGGCUCAACCCCGGAACUGCCCUUGAUACUGGUAGUCUUGAGUUCGAGAGAGGUGAGUGGAAUUCCGAGUGUAGAGGUGAAAUUCGUAGAUAUUCGGAGGAACACCAGUGGCGAAGGCGGCUCACUGGCUCGAUACUGACGCUGAGGUGCGAAAGUGUGGGGAGCAAACAGGAUUAGAUACCCUGGUAGUCCACACCGU
rnacentral:rRNA from 1 species